UUAAAAGGCGGUUUCAGAUUCUAAACCUUUGAACACAACUCAGACCUCUCAGCUGCUGCAAAGACGUUUCGUGGCUGCAAGAACCAAAUAGUUGGAAACAACCUGGAAAACGUGGAAAACAGUUGUAAAGAAACGGACUACAUUGUUGGAAAAGCUGAAAUACUCUGUAAAACUCACAUCCACACAGAAUAAGAUGCCAGGAGAAAUGGGAGAAGAGGUUUGCAUGCAUUUAAAGUUGCCCCUGGUGACCCCCGAAUCCCUUGAGAAAGUCAUCGGCCCCUGUGUGCAAGAUAUUUCACACAAGGAGUGGAUGUCUCUGGAUGGCUGUGAAAAUGGAUCAGAAGCGGGCAUUAUGCUGUUCGACAUGUGUCGUGCAUUAAUAGGUGAAAUUAGCACCUUGGUCCUGGAGGAUGUGGAGCCACAGGUUCUUGCCUCGGACCACUAUCAUUUAUGUGGCGAUGAUGAAACUGUGCAGGGCGGGUGCAGUCACUGCAGAGUGACGGAGCAGGACAUUCAAGCCUGCUUUAGGAACAGCCUUCAUCGCUAUUUUAGUGAAGCCCUGAACAUAGCAGAGCAAAGCUCCCACAGCUUGGAUCACUUAGUGAGAUUG